rnacentral:lncRNA from 12 species
CAUGCCUUGGAGAAAGAAUGCUUAUCAAUUUGAGAUCCACUUUCUCUUCCUCCCUCUCUCAGGAUGAAAUCUUUUGGUAGAUCACAGCCAGAGGACCUAAGCAAGCUCACUUCAUCCGAGCAAGUACUCGACGAUACUUUAUGUAUAUAUAGUGUUCGUGGGUCAAGAAAUUGCUACCAAGAUCCUUGGGCAAAAAGGAGACAGAGCUUUUCUUGGUCAUCCUCCUACCUUCUUUUCUCUACGAAUUCAGAACCUAAGGUAACCACAAACUUUCUACUCUGGGGUCACAUUCUGGUAUGCCUUCUCAAAAUUCUCCAUGCUCUAAAAUUCUCUCUCACUUUUAAUUGUUCUUGCUCAGCUUACUGCCCUCAAUCCUCACCAUAAACAAUGAAACUGAGCCUUUACUAAUGAAUAUCUAUCUACCUAGAGCAAAGAAUCAAGAAAACGAAUUAUUCAUCUGAAGUAAUUCAUACCAAAAUAUGAAUGGCUGAUAAGCUGCUUCUGUUUUGAAAGUAGAAAUAGAAUGGUUAUCCAAAUUAGUUCAUUCAAUAGGGUGGGUAUUGUGUCUGUUUUGUUCACUCUCAGGACUCUAACACAAGUGCCUGGAAAUGAAUAUUAAAUAUUUGUUGACUGGCAGAAUAUUUGGGGAUGGCAGCUUUGAGUAAGGAAAACAUGUUGGUGCCCAUGUUAUUCUUCGACCGCCUACAUCCCUACUUAUUUUGACAGGCAGAAAAAUAAGACCAGUGAUUUCGGUUUUGGUUUCUUCUUCACUACUCAUAGCUAAAAAUUUGCUUGUAUCUCAUCUGUAUCAUUAAAUAGUAACAAAUACAUGGUAGGGUUGUUAGUAAGGUUUGGGCUGCGGGGUCGUUUAACUUAGAAUUUCUCUUCCUCCAAAAGAUGUUUAAAAAAUUUCCUUCUAGAACUUUCAGGGGCACACCCUAAUAUAAGAAUAAGCCCAUGAGCAGGGAAUUCGAAUGCAAUCCUCUAUAGCACUUACACUGACAGAACUGAAUUUGGGAGACAAUAUGUAGGAUGCAGAGUCUGGAAUAAAAAGUCCAAGUUUCUAAUUCA